rnacentral:rRNA from 1 species
UACGUAGGGGGCAAGCGUUGUCCGGAUUUAUUGGGCGUAAAGAGCGUGUAGGCGGCCAUGCAGGUCAGCUGUGAAAACUCGAGGCUCAACCUCGAGACGUCGGUUGAAACCGUAUGGCUAGAGUCCGGAAGAGGAGAGUGGAAUUCCCGGUGUAGCGGUGAAAUGCGCAGAUAUCAGGAGGAACACCGGUGGCGAAGGCGGGUCUCUGGGCCGAAACUGACGCUGAGGAGCGAAAGCGUGGGGAGCAAACAGG